GGGCGAUAAGAUUUGAAUAAGUCUCGGCUAACACUUUAAAAUACAAAGAGAGGCAAAUUCUCUGUCUUCCCCUUCUGUGAUCCAUCGGUUUCUCUGGCGAUGGAGGAUGAUGGUGGGAUCCCGCUGGAUACGGCGCGAUCAGAGCGACCGGUGUGGCUGUUGAAGUGUCCGCCGGCGGCGUCGAGGGCCUUGCAGUCGGUCGCCUCCGGCUCUGGCUCCUCCACCUCCCCCAACCCCGUCGUCGCCAAGAUCGUCCACACCAUCGAUCUCCUCAACCUCGACGAUCCCUCAUCCGAACAGUUUACCUUGGAAAUGCUUCCAAAUGAUUCUGGGAAUGCGCCGAGGAGUUAUAAACUGAAUGCGUCCAAAGAUUUUGUUCCGAUGUCUACUUUUUCUGAGUCUAAUCAAGGAAAGCUCUCGGUGGAAGGGAAGGUAAAGUAUAAAUUUGACAUCGAGCCUCAAAAUUUCAGGGAUUAUAGUAAAAUAUGUCGCGAAAGAACGAACAAGUCUAUGAUUAAAACCAGAAAAGUCCAGGUCAUCGAUAAUGAUCAUGGAGGGCUUAUGAGGCCUAUGCCUGGCAUGGUUGGCUUAAUUUCAUCUAGUUCAAAGGACAAGAAAAAAGUAACACCAUCUAAAGCAUCGGAUGCAAAGAGGACACGCAGGGACAAAGGCGAAAUGUUGAACAUUCUCUUUAAACUGUUUGAAAGGCAACCAAAUUGGGCGCUGAAGCAACUGGUCCAAGAGACUGACCAACCUGAGCAAUUCCUGAAAGAGAUAUUGAACGAGAUUUGUGUGUACAACAAGAGAGGACCGAAUCAAGGAACCCACGAGCUCAAAGCGGAAUACAAGAAUUUUGGGGGAACCAACAAUGAAUGAUAGAUAUCCCAGAUAGAUAACAACACGUCAACCAUCAAAAUCCAUAUCCAUGCCGAUUUAAAGAAUAAGAUCCACAACAAACAUAAAGAGCGAUGAGUAAACAUGUCGUUGGCUAUGCUUCCUCUUUGUUCCCAUGACAAGUCAAACCGUGUGUUUGUUUUGAGACUCUCCCCACUGUCAUCACAAAGGCGCAUCUACUAGACUGCAUUUGCUCUUUAAUAUCAAGACCAGCAACGCUCUUUCUGCAAUGUUUAUGCAUCGUUCUUUUAAUAAUGGUGGUCGUAUGAUUUAAAGUUGUGUUUUUUUUUUUUAAGUAUUAGUUCUUGGGAUUUAAAUUAUGCAUUUUGAUAUAGAAAUUUAAGAUGACUUCCAUCGUACUA